AUAUAUUCCAAUUCGAUACAGAAUCUCAUCAAGCACAACAAAAGAAAAAAUUAUCCUAUAAUUCAUUAACUUUAAUAAGCUUAAAUCUAUCAAAACUGCUAGAAUCCAACAAAAUAUAUUCCAUCAAAUCUUGCAAACUACAUAAUUAAGAGACCAAACAUACUAGCAAGCAUAUAUUUUAAUCUUAUCACAAUUCCGUCAAACACAAAAAAAAAUCCAUAAAACAAACUUCAAAAUCUUUAUAAAUACAAGAAUAAUUAUUGAAUAUAAAAACUAU
rnacentral:lncRNA from 1 species